GAAGCUGGCUAGACAGUCGCUGCGCACCUCGUGCUGCGUAGAGGAAAGUCCGGGCUCCACAGAGCAGGAUGCCGGUUAAUGGCCGGAGGUCGUAAGGUCUGGAAAGUGCCACAGAAAAUAUACCGCCGGGGAAACCCGGUAAGGGUGAAAAGGUGCGGUAAAAGCGCACCGCACUGACGGUAACGCCAGUGGCAGGGUAAACCCCAUCCGGAGCAAGACCAAGCAGGAGGCAAAAGCGUGGCUCGCGCUGCCUUCGGGUAGGUUGCUAGAGCGUUCGGGCAACCGAGCGCCAAGAGAAAUGACUGUCCUAGACAGAACCCGGCUUAUCGGUCUGCUUGCCCU
rnacentral:RNase_P_RNA from 1 species